AAAGGGCCACUCCCGGGUCUCAGAGAUGUGAGGCUGUGUGGGUGGCUUGGUGGGGAGGUGGGGGGGGCCCAGCUGGCCAGGUGGGCUUGGCGGGGGGCCCCCAGGGAGCCUGGCAGCACCCACUGUGCUGCCAGACAGCUAAGGUGGCCCGCAGCAACUGUCUCCUGGCACACCCACCCUUGUGCCUCAGGGGCUGGGGCUCUGGGGCUGGAGAACUGUUGGUUGGUAGGUGCCUCCAUAGCCCUGUGCCUCGCCCAGGCAGUGGAUAAGUGGCUAAGCUGCCCCUGCUGGCUGUACUUGUCCUGAAGGCAGAUUCUGGACAGAACCUCCCUCUGCCCCCAGCCCUGUAGAGCCUUGUUCCAACCUCUGUUGAAUGCUGUCUCUGUUCCAGGGCAGCAGUGGGCCUUCCUCAAGGCUCUGAGCUUUGUGGGACGAAGCUGUCCUCUGAGGACUGGGAAUGCCACUGUGUGGGCUGGAGGGGAGGCUGGGCCCAGGAGGUGGGCUCUGAGAUGGGAGAUGCUAUCAGACCCCUGGAAGGUCUCCUCACCACCAAGGCCCUGCCCCCAAAAUUCCACCUGCCAGGGCUUGGACACAUGUCCUGGAGUAGGGGGCGGGCACAGGGAGAAACCCAGCUUCCAUCCUACCCCUUCCUUCCUUCUCCUUCUCCCACCCCUCUCCUCUCUCCCUGCAGUUCUUCCCUGUCACCCACUCUCCUUCCCUCCUCCUCUCAGUCCCACUGAAGGCCCCUGGGCCAUGGGAGAGGAGACCUGGUGGGGUGGGCCCAGCGUGGAGCCAGGGGACUGCGGCCACUGAGGCCAGGGCUGCCUGAUGGUCUCUCCACAUUGCUACUCGCUGGAGCACCUGCAAAGAGACACAUGGACCCAGGGAGGGUCUGCAGGGCUGCGAGGGGUCUGAGCCUGGAGAGCACAGGGCCUGCAGGGAUGCAGGCAUUGGGCAUUGGGCCUGGACUAGUAGGCUGAACCUACAGGGUCCUGGGACCCCACCCCGAAGCAGAUAGGCGGUCCCAGGGCUCAGGUGUGGGGUGGGGACUCAUGGAGCCUGCACCCCAAUAUCACACUCCAGACCACUUAUUGACACCCUCCCCCAAACACAUACGGUGUCCCCAACACACGAUUUCCAACACACCACACCCCAACACACACAGUCCCCAACACACACACAGUCCCCAACACACACACAAUCUCCAACACACACAAUCCCCCCACACACAAUCCUCAACACACACACAAAAUUCCCAACACACACAAUCCCCAAAACAUACACAGUCCCCAACACACACACAAAAUUCCCAACACAUACAAUCUCCAACACACACAAUCCCCCUGCACACAAUCCUCAACACACACACACAAUUCCCAACACACACAAUCCACAACACACACACAAUCCCAACACACACACAACUUUCAACAUACGUAGAAUCCCCAACACACACAAUCCUCAACACACACACAAAAUUCCCAACACAUACAAUCCUCAGAACACACACAAUCCUCAACACACACACAAUUCCCAAUACACACACAAUCUCAAACACACACAAUUCCCUCACACACAAUUCUCAACACACACACAAAAUUCCCAACAUGCACAAUCCCCAACGUACACGCAAUCCACAACACAUACACAAAAUUCCCAACGCACACACAAAAUUUCCAACACACAAUCCUCUGUACACAUUGUCCCCAACUCACACACAACUCCCAACAUGCACAGAAUCCCCAACACACACACAAAUCCCCAACACACACAAUCCUCAACACACACACAAUUCCCAAUACACACACAAUCCCCAACACACCCAAUCCCCAGCACACACACAGAAUCUCCCCCACACACAAUCCUCAACACACACACAAUCCCCAACACACCCAAUCCCCAGCACACACACACAAUCUCCCCCACACACAAUCCCCAACACACACACAACCCCCAACACAUACACAAUCCCCAACACAAUCCCCAACACGCAAUCUACAACACCCACACACCACAAUCCCCAACACACAUACAAAAUCUGCAAUAUACACACAAUCCCCAACACACGAUUUCCAACACACACAACUCCCAAACAUACAUGCUCCCCAGCACACACACUUUCCUCCCACACACAUCCUAAGCCCGUGCCUUCCACCCAGUAGGCUUCCACUGUCUUCUGUCACGAGGAGGAAAGGCAGGCGGAGUCCGGGGAGCAGGGUAGAUGGGGCUAAGGGGCCCUUGGCUGGCCGGCCCUGCGCACCCCUCCCCCAUCUCCUUUUCUCAGCCUUCCUUCCCAGGGAACCUGGACACCCAGGCCCUUCCCCCACCGCCUGCUCCUUCCUCACAGAGGGUCAUACCCCAUCCAAAUCACUGGCCCUGGGAUGGCAGCAGCCAGAUUCAAUCCAGGGCAUUCAGUUAAAAGAUAAUUUACAACAAGCAAAGUUGUAUGUGGUUUUUGUCUGUUUAUUUUCUUGGACCACAGGCGUGCACCCCGUGGCCAGCUCAUAUCUAACAUUUUUUUUUUUUGUAGAAUUUGGGGUGGGGGCAGAGGAGGUCUCUUUAUGUUACCCAGGCUGGUCUCAAACUCCGGGCCUCCAGCAAUUCUCCCACCUUGGACUCCCAAAGAGUUGGGAUUACAGGCGUGAGCCACCACACCUGGCUGAUGGUUGUAUGUUUUGGUUGAGUAUUGUAUCAUUUACAAUUGAGAUAAUUGUAGAUUUACUUGCAGUUGUAAGAAAUUACACAGAUGUUUCCUCAUACACUCUGCUCAGUCUCUCUGAAUGAUAACAGUUUGGAAAACCACAGGACAACGUCACAACCAGGUUAAUGACUUUGAUGUGACACCUCGAUCCCAUCCUGAGUCCCCGUUUCUGGCUAAUGUGUGCCUAUCAAAGGCUGCACAAUGUGGGCACAAGCGAAGGCUCCUGCAUCCCCUGACAGCGAAGCUGCAGAACGUCCCCAUCACCACGGGGUCCUCCGGGUGCCCUUGGCAAUACACCCACCUCCCUGCUGGUGGCCACGAGCCUGCCCUCCACCCCCAUCACUGUUUCAUUCCAGCGACAGCCGUGGGAAGGUGCAGUACGCAUCCUUCCGGGAUUCCCUGGAGAUGCCUCCAGCGCGUGUGUUUCAGCAGCCCGUUCCUCUCUGUGCCGAGCCAUCCAGGCUGUGGUGUGGAUGUACGUACCACACCACAAUUUAGUCAGCCAUUCUUCAGUUUAAGUGAGUCUGGGUGGACUCCAGUUCUUGGUGACUAUGACUAAAGGCCCCGGAAGCCCUCUGUGGGCCAGAGCGCCCAGGAGGCCAGGGGAUCUAGGACUGCUUUCCGAGACUGGGGCCUUGCUCUCAGGGGCCUGGAGAAGGUUCCCCUCGCUGGGGGCCCUCCCAUGCUCCUGGACUGAGAAGAGAAACCCUACAGUUUCCAAGGAGCCUGCACGUCAUGACGCAUGGCGCCCGGCGCACGGCAGUGGUGAGAUGGGCCCCGUGUGCUGGAACAUGAGCCAGCAGCGAUGGAAAGUGGCGAGGGGAGGGGAAUCCCCGUGCUCGCUCGGGCCAGUGGGAAGUUUCCAUCCGCGCAGGGACGGUCCGGGGAAGCACUGGAAACAGCAGGACCAUCCCGAAACUGCUUCUGCAGUGGGAGGCGCCGGGCGCCCGGCUGGCCGGGUGGAAACCACGCUGCAGCCGCCGGGCCAAGGGCACCGCGGUGGGGAGGCAGCGCCUGAUUCACAGCAAUUUCUGAGGUUGGAACAGGAAAUGGUUAAUAGUGUUUGCAAAUAAAAACUCUCUGUUCUAUCCUGUUUUCGAAACAUUUCCCAGAAGUUAAAAAAUAACACCCAAUUUAUCUGCCCAAUUUAAGAAUA
rnacentral:lncRNA from 1 species